UGUCGUCAGCUCGUGUCGUGAGAUGUUGGGUUAAGUCCCGCAACGAGCGCAACCCCUAUUGUUAGUUGCCAUCAUUAAGUUGGGCACUCUAGCGAGACUGCCGGUAAUAAACCGGAGGAAGGUGGGGAUGACGUCAAAUCAUCAUGCCCCUUAUGACCUGGGCUACACACGUGCUACAAUGGUUGGUACAACGAGUCGCAAGCUAGUGAUAGCAAGCUAAUCUCUUAAAGCCAAUCUCAGUUCGGAUUGUAGGCUGCAACUCGCCUACAUGAAGUCGGAAUCGCUAGUAAUCGCGGAUCAGCACGCCGCGGUGAAUACGUUCCCGGG
rnacentral:rRNA from 2 species